ensembl:lncRNA
GGGGAAAAUCACACUGCAUAUUGGCUGGGUACUAAGAUCGCUAGAUAGUUAUCAGGAAUCUGCGAUGUUAAAAGGAAUAAUAUAUCUGAAAAGAUCAAAUGAGCACUGAAUGAAAGGGGUGUGAUUACAGGAGUGAGUAUGUUCUUUCGAAUGAUUUUUAUCUGCAUCGUGUAUAUGUCGGUUAGGGAGGUAAGUUCAAGGUCCAGUGGAAAGUUUCUUUUUGAAUACUAUCAUAUAGCAUGCUCCUUUCUCCAGUUUUCUUUCUUUUUCUUAUUAUUGAGGCAUGACUGAAGCUGAGAACUGGCUCUUCUGAUGAAAUGACGUGAAAAUAGUUGCAUCAAGGAAGAAGAUAGAAACUAGAGAGGAAACUGAUCAUUGGAUGCAAGAGCAAAACCACAAGGAAUUCAGUGGCACUGCAUAAUAAUCUUGAUUUUGGUAUUUUGUAUAGGUGGACAGAAUAAAAUCAAAUUACAGAUGAUGAAUCAAAUAAAAAUAAGAUGAAAAAUAGUAUUUGAUAUUAUUAGGACCAUCUUUUGUACUCUUUACAUGAGAACAUUCUUUAAGGAGGCACUUUCAAAUGAAGAUAACCUCUGAAGGAUGAUUGGAGGAAGCCUUGCUCUCAGUCCACUGAAAAGUACAAAACUGGGAAACUUGUCACUCCCAAAGAAGAAGGCAUACUUUAGCUUGGAAGAAGAACAAAGGCCCGCCGUAUCCAGAUACACCAAGGUGGAGCAUCAUAAAAUAAAUAAUACCUAAUGAAAAUGGAACAGAAUGCCUACCUUGUGGAGUAAGCAGACUUGCAAACUGCAUAAUGAAGCACCACUUGCAGUUCUUUUGGAAGGGACACAGCAGCAGCUCAUGAGCUCAAUGACAGACUAAUCUGACAAGUCCUCAGCUCAGGUUGUCAGACUCAUAAAGUAAUCAUGGAUAGGUGCCCCUGGAAUGCAUAAUUUGAGACACUGGAGAGUAUUAUCCAAAAUGGCCCUUUUUCUUCAGAACAUGAAAGAGAUGGAUCCAAAUUCAGCCCUGGUAUAAGAGGGUAUAACUGUUGAAAUCAAUGAAGUUGCAGCAGGGCUAUAAUUAACCCUGUUAAACUAAAAGCUGUGACUACCUCAUGGAAUUGGCAUGAAGGUUUAUCUUUUUACUAUGAUUUUUAUGGUCACUGUGUGAGCAGGAUAGGGCUUUAGGUGGCUUUAACAGCAAACUCAACAAUGCUAUACACCUUUGCUCCAAUGAACAAACUUGACCCUUAAAAUAUAUCCUGUUUUGUUACUCCCAUUGAGUUCAAUUGUGCAUGAUUCGUCUCUCUUACUGGGGUGAAACUUCUGGUGCAGAGGCCCUACACAAAGCUGUGAGGCCACUUAGGCUUCCCAUUAAGGACUGAGUCCAGCUGCACUUGGGGUUCCUUGGAGGAAGAACUGGUGAAGCUCCUUUUUUCUGGGGGCAGAGAUGGGGUGAUUGAGGGUUGCAUAAGGCAGCAUUUCCCAAACUGUGUUCCAUGGAACACUGGUGUUCUGCAUGAUGUGAAUGUGUUCCGUGAAAGACUCUUGCACUUGAUUUUUGUACUACUUUACACGAGCUUUCUAGUUAGAAAUUGUUAGUUCAAGUUAUUUUAAAUUUGUAUUUUUGCUUUGUUUUAUAAAAUAAAAUAUAUUGGAGCAUAAAUAAUGCA